UACGUAGGGGGCAAGCGUUGUUCGGAAUUACUGGGCGUAAAGCGUACGUAGGCGGAUCAGAAAAUAUAGGGUGAAAUCCCAGGGCUCAACCCUGGAACUGCCUUAUAAACUCCUGGUCUUGAGCUCGAGAGAGGUGAGUGGAAUUCCAAGUGUAGAGGUGAAAUUCGUAGAUAUUCGGAGGAACACCAGUGGCGAAGGCGGCUCACUGGCUCGAUACUGACGCUGAGGUGCGAAAGCGUGGGGAGCAAACAGG
rnacentral:misc_RNA from 1 species